AGAUUCUUCCAUGCUGAUGGCCGUGCCUGUAUCCAGCUGAAGAACAUUUUUAGACAUUAUGAAACAUAACUAAGACUGAAAAUCAUUGAUAAACCACAAGAGUUUAGCUCCAACCCCAGUUAAGCAGACCUGAGCAGCCGAUCAAGGAUCAGCAGAAACUCUGCAGAACGGUGGUCCUCCAGCCCAGGACUGGACACCAGUGUUAUGCUGCAGAAAAAACAGCGAGGCUAAAGCAUUCAAAGAGGAAACAUCUGCUGUGGCUCAUUAAUCCAGAAUUGGGAUGGAGGAAGGAGCAGAAGAAGCAGAAGAUCAGAGAUCAGGCAGAGAUCUACUGGUGUC